rnacentral:rRNA from 1 species
UACAGAGGUCUCAAGCGUUGUUCGGAUUCAUUGGGCGUAAAGGGUGCGUAGGCGGCGCGGUAAGUCAGGUGUGAAAUCUUGGAGCUUAACUCCGAAACUGCAUUCGAUACUGCCGUGCUUGAGGACUGGAGAGGAGACUGGAAUUUACGGUGUAGCGGUGAAAUGCGUAGAUAUCGUAAGGAAGACCAGUGGCGAAGGCGGGUCUCUGGACAGUUCCUGACGCUGAGGCACGAAGGCCUGGGGAGCAAACGGG